rnacentral:rRNA from 1 species
CCUACGGGGGGCAGCAGUGGGGAAUAUUGGACAAUGGGGGCAACCCUGAUCCAGCCAUGCCGCGUGUGUGAAGAAGGCCCUCGGGUUGUAAAGCACUUUCAGCGAGGAAGAACGCCUGGUGGUUAAUACCCAUCAGGAAAGACAUCACUCACAGAAGAAGCACCGGCUAACUCCGUGCCAGCAGCCGCGGUAAUACGGAGGGUGCGAGCGUUAAUCGGAAUUACUGGGCGUAAAGCGCGCGUAGGUGGCUUGAUAAGCCGGUUGUGAAAGCCCCGGGCUCAACCUGGGAACGGCAUCCGGAACUGUCAAGCUAGAGUGCAGGAGAGGAAGGUAGAAUUCCCGGUGUAGCGGUGAAAUGCGUAGAGAUCGGGAGGAAUACCAGUGGCGAAGGCGGCCUUCUGGACUGACACUGACACUGAGGUGCGAAAGCGUGGGUAGCAAACAGGAUUAGAUACCCCUGUAGUC